AAAAGAAAAGCACAAGUUUUUUGUAGAAGCGGGUACCCAAUUAACUCAAUUAUCAGAGGUUGGAACAUGGGAAGGAUCAAAACGGAUCUCCCUGAUGGCAAACUCCUUUGAAAGAAUCCACGAAGUUCCUAGAUGUCCUGAUCUCUUGACUUUAUUUCUCAGCGAUAAUGAUAAUUUGAGUGAGAUCAGUGAUUAUUUCUUUCGAUUUAUGGAUACACUAACCGUUUUAGACCUAUCAAGUACUAAUAUCAAAAAAUUGCCAGUAGGAAUAUCAAAAUUGAAAUCAUUGCAAUAUCUUAAUCUGUCAGGGACGCCGAUAAGGCAAUUGCCAGUUGAGUU
rnacentral:misc_RNA from 1 species